GGUUUGGGGAAGUUUCUCCCAGAGGCUGGUGUUUCGCAUCCUCAUCAUGUAUAACCAGCGGCACCGGGGAUCCAAGGGGUGGCCGGUCCUCUCCGCAUCCCUGUUCUUUUCCCCGCCGAGGAUCUAUCUGGUCAGUGCUGCUCUCAGGCACCUGUCUUUCCUCUCCGUCCCGCAAUGGAGCCGAAACAUGGGAAUAAAAGAAAUUAAAUAGUACAAGGAGAUCGGGUGUCUGGGCAGCGUCUUGGAUAAAACCGUCCACUACAGGCCUAUUGCAUCUUUGUAAAACUCACCAGCAUCCAGAAGCUUCCUUACACGCAAAUAGCUGAUGGUAAGCCUCAUAACAGAAGCCUUAUCAAGAUGCGAGCUCACAUUAUGAGGAAGUGGCAACUGAUGAGCAAGCUCGUAAAAAACUUCAGACUCUUUACUUCUCCGAGAUCUGGCUGCAUCUCUAGACUUUUCUUUUCGACGUUCAGAACUUAUUCUAUUUAACAAAAGAGGAAGAGGAGAGGAGAGAAAAACAGAACACUUAUAUAAGUUAGUUUGCUGUUGCUUGGAUAUAAUUAAUUUUACACUUUCCUGCUUUCCACGGAACAAUUAAAAGAUGCCAUGUGGAUUAUUUUAUAUAGAGAUUUGUUUAGUACAUGAAUGUACAAGUAAGAAUGUAAAAUACAGGUAUACAAAUUUCUGGAUUACUGAAGACAUAAGGAAUUCUCACAAGAGGUCCAAGAUGAUGCUUUACUUUUUAAAAAGAUUUUAUUUAUUUACUCAUGAGAGACACAGAGACAGAGGCGGAGACACAGGCAAAGGGAGAAGCAGGCUCCAUGCAGGGAGCCCGAGGUGGGACUCGAUCCCAGGUCUCCAGGAUCACGCCCUGGGCUGAAGGUGGCGCUAAACCACUGAGCCACCUGGGCUGCCCCAAGAUGAAGUUUUAGAUCUGUCUAGAACAGGGUAUUUCCUCCCUGGAAUAUGCAAUUAGGAUGUUUUUGUUUUAGCCAAAAUCUAAAAAGUAGCCUAUGUAUGUAAGGCUGCACUCUCACAGCCAUUCAGAAGUAGUCUCAACGUAGAGAAAUCACCACAAAGUCUAGUGAAACUAAAGUUGUACAUAUUAACUUGAAAACAAGAGUUAAGCCGACUACAGACUGCAGGUACAGACUGAUUUUUGACUUGUUUCUUUUGACUCCAGUAUUUUCCCAUCCUCUACCCUACUACAUGAGCAAUAUUGACUGCUAUAAUAAGUUACCAUUUUCAGGUUGCUUCUUCCCUUAUCAGCCCCUAUUCUAUUACUGGCACAACAGGUACCAAAUAAAGGCAGGAGUAUAGGGGGAAAAAAAAAAAGAUGUGGCACAACGUAAGAAUUCAAAGAAAUAGGUUAACAAAGAUUAAUAAAGGUGUCAAAACAAUGACAUAUCUUUAGGGAACUCUUCCAAGAAUAAAGUCAGAAAGAUUUUCCUAAGUCACAGCAAGCAGAGACAUAUUCCUCUGCUUAAUUGUGUGGCAACAUCUAUGCCUCCUGACCCAGCUGGAGGUAAGCAAGGCUUAAACCUGGUUCUGUCCUUAGUUUCUUCUUUAAUAGCUAUUGCUUAUUAAAACCUACUAUGUGUCAAGCUACCAAAUACCAGAUGCCUAGUUCUCUCCUAAACUGUAAAUAGGUUAAAUAUUAUUCCUUUUUACACAUGAGGUUAUACAGUAGGUUAAAAACAGCCAUUAUAUAGCAGAUGGAAUUUGAACACAGUUGUUUUUUUACUCCCAUGUCUUUGUUUGCUCUUCCAGUGUUUUAUCUUAAGGAAGAAUGUUAUUUCUAGCUCAAAUACUCAGCUGCUUUCCUAUGACCCUCAACCUAAUUCUGUUAAGUCAAUUAUUUAUUAAAUGUUGAAAAUAGUCA